UACAGUUACAGAAAUACAUACAAGAAUGCAAAUACUAGUGUAGACAUUUAUUCUAGACAUCAGAUCUGUUUUGCUGAAAAUGUUGGUGCGUUAAUUGCACUUUAGAACAGCAGCUAUACUCAAAUAGGCUGUAAUUUAGACAGCAUCGGUUAAACCUCAACACAAAACUCGCGAAAUGGCUUAGAGCCCUAAAAAAAAAAAAAAAAAUUUGCGGUGCGACACCUGCCGCGAGAGAGUGUAUACUUUAAUCGGCACUGGAUGGCAAUAACUGCUUCCGCAAUUGUGCCGUCAGCGGCGUCGGACGGUUUAUCAGAUGGGCCAUUCUGCACGCGUGGGGAACUCUUCGCCGCCCGCACUGUGUCACAGACCGGCGACGUGCCUUUUUGCUUGGAUUAGGACAAAAAAAGUCUUCCUUUCCCCUUUU
rnacentral:lncRNA from 1 species